GGCCCAGGAGGGAGGCGGCGGGAGCAAGAUGGCGGCGCGAGUGCUGCUGCGGGGGAGCCUGGCGGGAGCGCCCGCCGUGCCGCGCCUGCCGCCCGGCGCCGGGCCGGCCCUCAGGGGCCUGGGCUCCUCGGCCCGCAGCGCCCGCGAGGACAGCUGGUUAAAAUCCCUCUUUGUGCGCAAAGUGGAUCCCAGGAAAGACGCCCACUCCAACCUCCUGGCCAAACGAGAGACCAGCAGCCUGUACAAACUGCAGUUUCACAAUGUCAAACCCGAAUGUCUAGAGGCCUACAACAAGCUCUGUCAAGAGGUGCUGCCAAAGAUUCAUGAAGAAAAACACUACCCUUGUGCUCUGGUGGGGACUUGGAACACGUGGUACGGAGAGCAAGAUCAGGCUGUUCAUUUGUGGAGAUAUGAGGGAGGUUACCCAGCUCUCAAUGAGGUCAUGAGCAAACUUCGUCAAAAUAAGGAAUUCACCGAAUUCCGUAAGGAGAGGGGUAACAUGCUCCUCUCCCGUAAGAACCAGCUCCUGCUGGAGUUCAGCUUCUGGAACGAGCCUGUCCCCAGAGAUGGCCCUAACAUUUAUGAACUGAGAUCCUACCAGCUCAGGCCUGGAACGAUGAUCGAGUGGGGCAAUUACUGGGCUCGUGCCAUUCGGUUCCGACAGGACAGCAAUGAAGCAGUUGGGGGAUUUUUCUCCCAGAUUGGACAGCUCUACAUGGUCCAUCACCUUUGGGCUUACAAAGACCUGCAAACCAGGGAAGAUAUAAGGAAUGCAGCGUGGCACAAACCUGGCUGGGAUGAACUGGUUUAUUACACAGUGCCCCUUAUUCAGGAGAUGGAGUCCAGAAUCAUGAUACCCUUGAAGAUUUCUCCACUUCAAUAAAGUCACUGAUUUCCUUGUGCCUACAUAGAUGAAGUGACAAGUAUUUGUCUUAAUUUAUGGCUAGAAUGUAUCCACACUUUUCGGUGUCUGCGACCAUGUGAACAUCCUGUGGCAGUCAUAUUCUCUCUCUCUCAAGCGGCUCCGAGAAAUCAGUGUAACAUUCUGAAUGUACAAAUCAGUUCUGAAUGUCCCGUUUGUACAUUUCAACGAGUUUUCAGGAAGAACGUGUCAGUCAAUAAAAUCCUUUUAAUUUUCA